rnacentral:rRNA from 1 species
CGAACGGCAGCACGGGAGCUUGCUCCUGGUGGCGAGUGGCGAACGGGUGAGUAAUAUAUCGGAACGUGCCCUAGAGUGGGGGAUAACUAGUCGAAAGAUUAGCUAAUACCGCAUACGAUCUACGGAUGAAAGUGGGGGAUCGCAAGACCUCAUGCUCGUGGAGCGGCCGAUAUCUGAUUAGCUAGUUGGUGAGGUAAAGGCUCACCAAGGCAUCGAUCAGUAGCUGGUCUGAGAGGACGACCAGCCACACUGGGACUGAGACACGGCCCAGACUCCUACGGGAGGCAGCAGUGGGGAAUUUUGGACAAUGGGGGCAACCCUGAUCCAGCAAUGCCGCGUGAGUGAAGAAGGCCUUCGGGUUGUAAAGCUCUUUUGUCAGGGAAGAAACGGUGAGGGCUAAUAUCCUUUGCUAAUGACGGUACCUGAAGAAUAAGCACCGGCUAACUACGUGCCAGCAGCCGCGGUAAUACGUAGGGUGCAAGCGUUAAUCGGAAUUACUGGGCGUAAAGCGUGCGCAGGCGGUUAUGCAAGACAGAUGUGAAAUCCCCGGGCUCAACCUGGGAAUGGCAUUUGUGACUGUAUGGCUAGAGUGUGUCAGAGGGGGGUAGAAUUCCACGUGUAGCAGUGAAAUGCGUAGAUAUGUGGAGGAAUACCGAUGGCGA